rnacentral:lncRNA from 1 species
CGGGCGAGGGCUGCGCGGCCGCGGCGGGGCGAGCGGCGGAGAAAUGUUUUCACAUGCAAGUUACGUACCUAUUGGCUGCAUGCUUCUGACCAGAUUGUCACUGCAAGGCUGAUGGCUCCUGACAAAAUGGAUGCGGAGUGGGAGACACCAACUGGAAACUUCUGCUUGACAGCUUUAGCUUGCUUGAUGCCUGUCUCUUGCUGUUCAGUGACUGGGCCCCUCAUGUGUGCAGUCAGUGCUGGAGCUUCUUUCCUGCAUCAGAACUCCCAGGCCAGCACUGCUAUGCCAUAUUAAAUCACAUCUUCUUGCAUGAAAAAGGAUGUAAAAUGGAAUACAAAUCCAAAAUGGAGAUUCUUAUCAGAGUAAAAAGAGAGGAACAAAAUAAAACCACAGUACUAAAGCAGAGAUUCCCAAACUUAUUGUACUGGAGUUUCGUCACUGGUACGGAUGGGGAGGGACUGUUGGUGCCAGUGGUGUUAAUUUUUCUAUCUUAUCUUCCUCAACCUGUGACACAUUCCUGAGGGCAGAACUCAGCUCUGUCCUUUCUGCCUCACUUAAUAGUUUAUCAGCCCUACUUCAUUCCAUCCUGUUCUUG